UUUACAAUGCGGGAAACCGUGAUAAGGGGACACCGAGUGCCAGCAUCAUAUGCUGGCUGUCCGGGUGUGUAAAAUACACCUGUUAGCAAGGGCCGGGCAAGACCGGUGCCAGCCGCCGCGGUAACACCGGCGGCCCGAGUAAUGAUMGUGAUUAUUGGGUCUAAAGGGUCCGUAGMMGGUUUGGUCAGUCCUCCRAAAAAUCUGAUAGCUCAACUAUUAGGCUUUCGGGGGAUACUGCCAGGCUUGGAACCGGGAGAGGUAAGAGGUACUACAGGGGUAGGAGUGAAAUCUUGUAAUCCCUGUGGGACCACCUGUGGCGAAGGCGUCUUACCAGAACGGGUUCGACGGUGAGGGACGAAAGCUGGGGGCACGAACCGGAUUAGAUACCCGGGUAGUCCCAGCCGUAAACGAUGCUCGCNAGGUGUCAGGCAUGGCGCGACCGUGUCUGGUGCCGCAGGGAAGCCGUGAAGCGAGCCACCUGGGAAGUAC
rnacentral:rRNA from 1 species